GUGGAGGGGUAAUAGAUAUAUACAGGGAGAACCAGAUCAAUGUGGAGGGGUAAUAGAUAUAUACAGGGAGUACCAGAUCAAUGUGGAGGGGUAAUAGAUGUAUACAGGGAGAACCAGUACCAGAUCAAUGUGUAGGGGUAAUAGAUAUAUACAGGGAGAACCAGAUCAAUGUGGAGGGGUAAUAGAUAUAUACAGGGAGUACCAGAUCAAUGUGGAGGGGUAAUAGAUAUAUACAGGGAGUACCAGAUCAAUGUGGAGGGGUAAUAGAUAUAUACAGGGAGUACCAGUAGCAGAUCAAUGUGUAGGGGUACUAGAUAUAUACAGGGAGAACCAGAUCAAUAUCAAUGUGGAGGGGUAAUAGAUAUAUACAGGGAGUACCAGUACCAGAUCAAUGUGUAGGGGUAAUAGAUAUAUACAGGGAGAACCAGAUCAAUGUGGAGGGGUAAUAGAUAUAUACAGGGAGUACCAGAUCAAUAUCAAUGUGUAGGGGUAAUAGAUAUAUACAGGGAGUACCAGAUCAAUGUGUAGGGGUAAUAGAUAUAUACAGGGAGAACCAGAUCAAUGUGUAGGGGUAAUAGAUAUAUACAGGGAGUACCAGAUGAAUGUGGAGGGGUAAUAGAAAGUAUUGAGACUUUAUUCUAAAAUUGAUUAAAUUGUUUUUUUGUCCUCAU
rnacentral:lncRNA from 1 species